GACAGAGGCCUCGAGCGUUAGGCGGAAUCACUGGGCUUAAAGCGUGUGUAGGCGGGCCCGUAAGUGUCUUGUGAAAUCCCACGGCUCAACCGUGGAACUGCUGGGCAUACUGCGGGUCUUGGGCCAACUAGGGGCAGCCGGAACAAGCGGUGGAGCGGUGAAAUGCGUAGAUAUCGAGAGGAACACCUGCGGCGAAGGCGGGUUGCUGGGCUGACACUGACGCUGAGGCGCGAAAGCUAGGGGAGCGAACGGG
rnacentral:rRNA from 1 species